UUCUUUUUUAUGGAAUGCAAUGCCUUGAAAA
rnacentral:piRNA from 1 species